rnacentral:lncRNA from 1 species
CAAUUCUCAUCCGUCUCUGUUUAUCUCUUCACCCUCACGACGUUAGGUGUUCUUCCCUGACUCCGACAACAUCACACACAAGCAGCGCACCACCACCUGUCUCCACCAAAGAUGCAAUCGAUGCCCUGGAAGUCCACCUUUUAUGUCACACACAAGUAGCCCUAACCCUAUCUCGUCGCCACGAUCAACCACGAUCAACGAUUUGGGGGAACAACAAGUAAAUUUCAUUCGGGUUUGGAGCUUUUAGUUCUUAUUCUCGAAGAUCUCUCCGGUCGGCCGUUAGUUCAUCAUCUGCAACCAAAUUUCCAGCAAUGGAAGGGGCCACGAUGGGCCCAUCUGAAGCUUCGGUGACGAUGUACAACCUCAAAGAUGCAUACAAUUUCUAGGAUGUAUUAAACACUUCCCCUAUUUGGAAGGAUCGAAUUUUUCAUGCUCUUGCUGCUCUCUAUGGCAUCGUUUCCAUCGCUAUGUUGUUGAGUUUCCAUUUACUUCGUUGAUACAAUACGUUUUUGUACUGUACUGUCUCCAAUCUUAUGUUUCUAGGGUUUCUAUUUGAACCUAACGAGCUUUUAGGGAUAUAACAUGUGAGGUAUUUCCAGUGUGUGCAUGUAGACUAUAGCUUGGAUUAGAUGCAUCCCAUAUUCGUACAAAUUGAUCAAGGGAAGUGGUUCUAAACUGGGUGGAAUUUGGUCUGAAACGAAUAUCAGUAAUUAAGAACUGAUGUUCUUCAGGGGUGGUCUCUGUUUGUAGGUGUAGGGUAUCCAUUUUCCAUAGAACUGCCUUUUUUCAUGGCCAACACUAGCUAGCAACUUCCCAUAUGAAGAAAAAUGACAACACAAGACCUUUUUUCUUGUCCGUAUACAACUAACUUCCCCAAAGGAAAAACCCUUAGAAGAAUAAGACCUUUGUCUUGUGUUGUGUCAUUGCACCAUAAACUUGUCUUUCAUCUCCUCCUUCGUGUUGCAAAAAGGAUUCCACAUUAUUAUCCAUGGAAACAUCCCCAAAAUGUUCAAUGUCAUCAAGCUGAUUUGUUGAGGAGGCAACGACAGUUGUUCCCUGAUCAGAAGAAGCAUACAUGACGAUGGUUUUGGGUAGAUGGUGGAGACUGGUAGUAGUUGUUGUUAUUCCAUCAUUAGUUCCUGCCCAUGGUGUGUGAGUUGAUGUUGGGGAGCUUGGUGAAGGGCCUGUUGUAUUCCCUGUGUUACUGUUGUUGGCUGCCCCAGAAGAAGAAUGUUGAAACAGUCUCAAAUUACGAUGAAGUAAAGGAUGUUAUUACAGAAAAGGUGAUGUUAAAUGUUAAUAAUCAGUUAAUAGUCUUGUAUUUUAUUGGUCAAUUAAAGUCUCUAUGAAACAUUUAUAUGUGCAGCGUGGAUCGUUAAGAGAUGAACCUACACAUGAAGAAUAUCCUCUUAUUUAUCAUUUUGAUGUUGCUGCUAUGUAUCCCAAUAUUAUAUUAACAAACAGACUUCAAGUAUACACAUCAAUCAAAUUUUUAGAAAUUUAAAUAAAGGACAGUUUGCUAGCCUAUUACUCACAAUUUACCAUUUAAAAAAGCUGAUAUUUUACCUAACAAAUACUGAUAUGUCAUCUUAGCCACCAUCAAUAGUUACAGAUGAGGUGUGCAUUGCAUGUGAUUUCAAUCACCCUGGGAAAACUUGUCUUAGGAAACUUGAAUGGAAGUGGCAUGGAGAGACAUAAACAACAAAUAGAAGGUACAUUAUUUACGGAUUUACCCCUCUAUUAUAGCUUAAUUUACUAGCAUCUAUUUAUUGAUUUUAAAUUUGGGUAUUAGUGAUUACUAUAAUUUGAAGAGGCAAAUUCAAUCCAUAGUUGUUGCCGUUGAUGGAUUCAAAUCAAAGUCUCUCCUUGAUCAGCCUAAAGUGGAUCAACAACUGAAGCUGAAAGAACGUUUACAGAAAUAUUGCCAAAAGGUUUAUAAUUUUUUAUGUUACAAACUUUAAAUUUUAUGUGACACGACAUGUCAGCAUUAUUUACAUAGCAUUUUGUGAUACGUGUUACAGGCGUAUAAACGAGUGCUUGAGAAGCAACUCCUGAAACUAGAGAAGCAAGAGUUACAAGUAACAUGCACUUGUUUGAUGCAGAUGGCAUGAAAAAGAAGUAUGACACCCCUGAACAAAGUAAGAAUAUCACAAAAUGCAAUAAAAAUUGAUGUUUAUCUGGUUUAUUGACUUUUUUACCCUCUGUUAAGGUUCAUGGUUAAGUAAAUAUACAAGAAAUGAUUGUUUUAGACUUUUUGGUAAAUUUGAGAAUUUCGGUUAUUCUUUUUUUUCAUUUAGAUGAGUUAAAAAUGAAAAAAAAAACUUUAUAACGAUAUGAAAGUCUUAUAACACAAUAUAUAAUUAUUUUUGGAAAAAAAACGACAGUGUUGACUUUCUUUGGUCAAUUUGCCAAUUUUUAUGAUAAUAACAAUAAUAUGAUUAAGUUUCAUAUGAUUUGAAAUAUUUUUGGUAGGAAUUUUGACAAUUAUUAUAUUCAUUUUAAAUUUUUUUGAGUAUAUUUGUUAUGUUUGUAUGAUUUUAAAUAUUUUUUGUAUGAAUUUUGACAGCUAUUAUAUUCAUUUUUAAAUUUUCAUGUAUAUUUGUCAAUGUUAGUAUUCAUGGUAAGAUUUUAAUUUGAUUAAUUUUGGAAUGAUUAUCAAUAUCCAAAAAUACAUCAUUUUCUAUAUUAUAAUAGACUAUUCCACCUAUAAAUUUAAUAUAUGUUCUUCAUUUCUAACUCUCACAACACAAUUCGACAGUUUGGGUUUUGGGACGAUUGGAUCAUUGAUUUGGAAUCGGGUUGACUGCUUCAUUGCAUUGUAUUUCGUGACACGAAUUCAGGUUCUCUUACUUCUUCUAUCUGUUAUAACUUCAAGUGUGUCUAUAACAUUUUAUUUCUUACUUCUUCUGUUUGAAGUGAUAGACUUCUUUUGUUUCAAAUGAUAAUCUUCUUUUGUCUUCUGUCUAAAGUGAUAAACUUAUUCUGUUUGAAAUGAUAAAAUUAUUUCGUCUCAAAUAAUACAUGUAUACAAUAUGUAUAUAUGUGUGUAUGUAUUUGUCUGUGACAUUGUAUACAUGUGUGGUUUGUAUAUGUAUAUGUUAGGACAUUCCGUGCUUCUGUUUUUGAGUUUGAGUGAAUGUGUCUUUCUGCUUUUAUGAUUGUAAUAGUAGAGACUUCAACAUUUUUUUAUGUAUGUUCAUUUUCAUUUUUGGCAAUUAAUUUCAGUAUAUACUUCAAGAGAAUAUACCUUUUAUUCAUUUUUACUAUAUAACCUUUUUUAUAUAUGUAAAAUUAAAAAAAAAAUCAAAAUAAUAGACUAAGGUGUUAUGGUUUUAAAACCGCACGUAAAUAAAUAGGAAAAAAUCGACGGUUUAACUUAAAACAGGUCUAGUCCAACCAGAAAAAAUCAACGGUUUUNNNNNNNNNNNNNNNNNNNNNNNNNNNNNNNNNNNNNNNNNNNNNNNNNNNNNNNNNNAAAAAUAAAAGGGACCCAAGUUUUAAUAGGAGAAGCCCACUUUUCGUUUAGAGGAUUGCUUAGACUCCACUCCCUUAUAUAAUAAAGAUAAAAUUGCAAAAAUGGUCCAUGUGGUAUGUAAAUUUUUGGGGUUUUAGUUCAAACCACGACUUUUUUGGAUUGGUGGUCCUGUUGAGCUAGUUUCUUUCCGUUUUUGGUCCCUCGGUAAACUGAAAAGACUAUUAUGCCCUUAUGAUAUAUUUUUUUAUGCCUUUUCUACUUAAUUUAAAUGAAAAAUAAAAUAAUUAUCUAAUUUGGGCCUCUUUCUCUCUCUCUCAUCAAAUACAAAUAUCGAAAAGGAGAUCUAAUCACCAUCAACGCCUGAGCUGAGAUCUGUAGAAACUUCAAGUGAUCCUCAAGUUACAUUUAAACUCUACCUAGUGGAAGUUACUCCAUAUAAAGAACCAACAUACAAUCUCUUCCAAAAUGAACAACUUCCCAUUGUUUCCGAGGGAAAAUCAGAAGGAAUGACGAAUUCCAAAGAGGAGUAGAUUGUCCAGUUCUCAAGACUCUUCAAGAGCCAUGUGGGAUUUGAUACAAAUCUCUAUUUAGAUCUUCAUGAACUCGGAAUGGAGAUUUAUUCAGAAGCAAUGGAAGAUACAAUCACAACAAAAAGCUCCUAGAACCUUUUCGACAUAGCUGGAUCAAAAUUCCAAGAAAUGUCCGCUUUAGCUUUGUUCAACCUAGGUAACGUCCACAUGAACAAAGCAAGAAAAUCGAUUGUCAUUAUAGAAGAUGAUAACACUAUCAAAGAAUCAGUAUCAGAACAAGUGAAAAUCGGAUUCGAAUUCUCCCAAAAAGAAUACGAAAAAACAGAGGAAAGAUAUGAACAGUCAGCACGUCAGACCUGAUUUCUACGAAGGACACCUGAGAGAUAUCUUCUGUUUGAAUCUUGCAUAAUCUCGGAAUCAAAUCGAACGAACUAGUAGAGCAUAGAAAAUCUUUAACAACCGAUUAAUUUUGAUGAAUGUGCAUAUUUUGCUCUUUUCUCUGAUUAUGACCUAAUAAGCUUAGAAAAGGCAAGUAAACAGGAGAAUUGGAUGCUUGUAAUUGAUGACUAGAUGAAAGCCAUACUGAAACCUGUGUGAUAAAAAUCAAUUCUAAAAAACACAACCUCUUUGUUUCACUUUUGAUUUGGGAAUAACAUAAAGAUAUCCGACUUCUUUGUACAUACUUUAUAUAGGCAAUCGACCUUCUUUAUGGAGCUGAGGGAUGAUUCUGGAAUGCGGGCUGGUGGGUUUUAUGAGAGAUAAUCAUGAACGAGGUGGUGACGUACUGGGCCGCCUCACAGUAUGCCCAUCGUAACCCCGAUGAUUAGCUACUAUAAAUAGAACUCAAGGUUGCCCGAUUUUUGUUUACUUUCUUCACAUCUCUCACCCUUAUACUCUCUCCUAAGUUGCAAGAAAUACCCCCGAAGCCUAGUGUAUCAUCCUAGCACCCGAAGCAAGUUCCAGAGCCCCAAAGAUCCCGAGAAAAAGAGUUUUCGAGCCAAAACUCUGUCCAUGUGAAGCUCGGUUUUUUGAGAAAUCACCACGAUUUCAUCUGAAAAGAUUAUUUUAAGAGACGAGGUGCUGCCCGAUUAUCAUCUUAACAAGUGAGUGUAUAGUCAAUUUCAUCUUACACAUAGAUAUGAAGUAUUUUCUAUAAAAUACGUGCUAUGUGUAAUUAUAUUGUUUGUUUAUUUGAGAUGGGUGUUGAAUAAAUGUUUUAUACAAGUUUUAAAUUGUAUAUGUAUUUUUAUCUACAAAUAUGUUGGGUAAAACAUGGAUAGAUGAUAUAGUUGAUGUGUGUUAAAAUGAUGAGAGGCCUCGAUUUUGUUGUUGUUGAUGAUGUUGUAGUCAUCUAGCGGAGUAUAGAUGACUACCACGGACCUUUAUAGACAGUCCAGUGGAACGCUAGCAGGUUCGCAACCUGUAGGUGUUGGUGAACUAUAUGUUUGUUGGUGUACUCCAUCCCCCUCAUGGUUGCCUUAUUUAACAUAAAUUGUUGAGGAAUCCCUAAAGCAGUGUUUUCACCCUGAUGAAAAUCCUUAGACUAGGUCCCUUAUGAUAGGUGUUUAGGACGUAAAGUGAGGAUAACGGGAAUGGGUAAUCAGUGUUAUUGUUGGUUGAUCAAAUUAAUAAAUUUAUUUUUGGUUGAUAAAUCUAAUAAAUUUAUUAUUAUUUGUGGGUUGAAAACCCUAUAUGCUCGCCAGGCUCCCAAGCCUGACCCACUCAGCUUUUUAUAUUACAGGUAGUGGACCUCGAGCAUAGUCGGAUGAAGAUACGAGAUUUUUGGAUUAUCGGCCAGUAGUUGUAAAUAACUGUUUUAAGGCUUAUAAUGUACUGAUUAUGCUUUUGAUCUGUAUCGGAACAUGACAUCCCGAGGUUUUGAUAUAUAAUGAAAAUAAAUAUUUCUUUAAGAAAUGUUUUGAUAAAUUUUUAUCAUUUUUUGUUUUAGGGACAAAUUCCGCAACAUCUUUUAAAAAGAUUACUCUUAUUUUAUUUUAAAAAUAUAAAUUAAAUCGGUAUUUUCUAAGAACCCGAGAACUAAAAGUGGACCAUUAGAUCAAAAAAAAAGGGGCUAAGAUGCAAGGUGGUGUUUUUGUAAAUAAGUAGAAAACUAAAGAGGUGGGGGUAUCUUAAUUAAACUCGACAAAGGCAAUAUUGGAAACAAAAAAUUAUAAUUCAAUUGUAUCCUAAUCGAUUAUAAUUUUGCAAAAUGAUCUCUUUCACACAACCCUAACCCUCGUUCUCCUCCAGACGGCUUUCUUCUUCGAUGCUUCCUUCAACAACUUUCUUCUCUCCGCCGAAAUUUGUGCCUUCUCUCCCUUCUGAUUGGUAGAAAGCAAAGACUGCUGCAGCACCUUCGCCGCAUCAUCGUCACUGGCCAGAUCGAUUGUUACACAAUCUACAGGAUACAGUGUAGUCUUCUAAUGGUGUAUCAUCAUAACCAUAUCUCGCAAUAUGUUGCCCUACAACAACAUUUCUCCGAAACCGACAACAAUUCUGUCCUCCAAACGUGUCACACCCCCGAACUAGACGUCGGAAACGUCUGGGGGAUUAUACAUGACUUCAUCCUUGUAGUAUCAUCACAUAGUAUAUAAUUGAAUCAUAACAUAAUCAUCAUCACACAUGUAAUAUAACAACAUACAUUGUUUACAUCGAGUAUUGUGUUUGAAUAUUACAUGCCAAAAUAGUUAAAGUAUGAUGAAACAAUAUAUAACAAAAUAUCCAUUAGUUUGUUCCGCUCAAUCUGCUUCAACGGUUUCCUGAGAAUACAAGCUAAUUUAAAAAGGUCAACAUAAAAAUGUUUGUGUCCGAUCUAGUAUUAAUGCAUGUGUGUUAUUGUUUAAUAGUGUGAAUGAAGAGAAUGUAAAGAGAAUGCCCUAGACAACCCUAUGUUGCCUGUAAAAGAGAAUGUUGGUAUGUCAACCCCCGAGGUCGAGUACUGGCGCGAGUAUGUCCCCGAGUAAUCCAAAGAGAAAAGAGGAUUGUCUCCCGUAAAUUUCAUAAUGUUAAUUCCUCUAAGUGAGUCGUUAUAAUCAUACUAGAUAAUGACAAUUUCGUCUGUCUUGCCGUUUAUGGACACCAACGGAAAAUAGAAUAAGGUUUUCGUCGCCCUAGACUGGUUUAGUCUAACUAUAGCGAACAGCUCAGGUGUGGGGUGUCAUCCCCGUAUAGAUCUAUAGGCAAAUUCCCGCUCUCCCUCCAAGAGACUUUGGUUAUAACUACAGGCUACAAUCGUACACUCAAUAUGUGUCAACCGACACGUCUCAAUAGAUCCUUAAUCGAAUUUACGCGAAGAGAAACAUAUAAAACACAUUCUAGACCCAAUUAACCAUGUAAGUGAACAACUAAGGCUCAUUAAACAUGUAAGUCAUUUCCAGGCCCAAAAUAUAUGUAAAAGGACAACUAAGGCCCAUUUCACAUGUAAGGUAUCUACAGGCGCAAAUAGCACACAAAGAGUAUCCAAGGUCCGUCGAGCAUGUUAAUGGGUCAAUGCGGCCUAAUAAACAUAUAAAGAGUAUUCAGGACCUAUCAAGCAUAUAAAUGGGUUACCAAGGCCCAAUAAUCAUGAAAAUGCCAUAAUUAGCCCGUUUGUUAUUAUAUUGCUAGUUUUAGCUCAUUUAUUUACCAAAAUGACAUAAAAGGCCCACCUUUUGUAAAAAUGACAUUCUUGGCCUAUUAAGACAAAAAUUUACAUUUAAAGUCAACUUUUUUGUAAAAAUAACAUUUUAGGCCCCUUUUUGGACAAAACUCGUAUUUAAGGCUAGUUUUUGUAAAAAUAAUAUUUUAACUCACUUUUGUCAUAAAUAUCAUUUUUGAGUUUAUUUUUAUAAAAAGUAUAUAUUUUCGACCCAUUAUAGAUAAUUUCAUAUUUUUUGCCCAAAUUUUUAUAAUUUCACAACAUUAACCCUUCUUAUAAAAAAGUUACAUUUUUGGCACAACUUUCUUGAAAAUUACAUUUAAGCCCACAAAAGAUCAAAAAUUACAAUUUUUAGGCCCAAAACCAUGAGAAGCCCAAAUAACAUUUAUGAAAAUGUUUACAUUUUUAUUCCUUGUAAGGUCUCAAAUGUCGAGAUUAUCCAUGUUUAGCAAAAUGACCCAUACUUUUGCAUUUUGUCCAUUUUAGCCCCUUUUAUGAAGUUUUUCUUAGCUUUAAGUAACUUAAAUGUAUUUUAAACCUUUUUCUUGUAAGAUGAGUUGAAAUGAGUGUUAUGUUAUACCAAUAUCAUCAUCUUUUAGUAGAUCUUUAAGUUCACGAGGUUUACAACACAUUAAUACGUAUACAUCUACACAAAACAACUUGUAUUCUCCCCUAAAACAAAGCAAAAAUCGAAAAUAGGGGUAUGAACUCACAUUGCUUUGAAGGUUUUGGUUUUUGGUAAAGAAUGGAUGAUAUCUCGGCCCCAGCAAGCUUCUUGAGGAGAUUUUUUAGAUCUAUGAAGUUCUAAGAGCAUGGAUCAUGAAAUGAAGUAUUAAGGAGUGAAGGAUUUAUCAUAAAAUGAAGCUAAUCAUCUUGUUUAGAGAGCAGCUUACUAAAAAGUGAUGAUCUUUGAUGAAGUGUUCUUGAACACCACACAAAUACACACGAACUUGGAGAGGGAAAUGAGAUUUUCUUGAGAGCUCUAGAGAUAACUCUUGGGUGAGUUUGAGAGUAAAAGUGAUGGUGGUGGGGUGGUGGUUUCGGCCGAGACUAGAAGAAGGGAGGGGGAAAGAGAAGAUUAGGUAAUACUUAAUGGUUAAUUGUUAUCUUGCCUAAAUAUUUGUGGGGUAAUAUGCAUGUUUACAUGCAAAACAAUAUGGAGGUGUCACAAAUUUAGCCAUCUCCACAUUUUUUUAUAAUUGGGCUGAGAAUAAGGGAGAAGAAAAGAAAAGGGAAAUAGUUUGGGCCUUACUUGCUUGAUUUCGAUAUUAUGAGGUCUAAGUUGAUGGUUUUCGGCCCAUUGGGCCCUUAUGAGGGUUCAUGGCCUAAUAGUGAUAAGGAAAAAGGGUUUACGGCCCAAUAAAGCCCAAGAAGAUAGUUUAUGGCCCAUUAGGGCUUAUGAAACCAUUUACGACCCAUCAUGGCCCAUGAGAAAUGGAAUGAGUCAUCCUAAGCCCACAUGACCCAAAAUACUUUAGUUUCAUGAAUGUGGGUCUAAUUAGAGCCCAAAUAGGGAUCCUUGGCGCAAAAUACCCAACUUGAAAGUUUAUUGGCCCCUCAGGACCAAUAUGAGGAUCCUUGUGCAUAAUAAACUUGAACCGAGAUUUUUAGGGUUUUUCAACCCAUAGUUGAAUAUGCAAGAUGUAUUGUAUUAGAUUUUGAACUUUACUUAGGAGUUUUGAUUCAAAUAGAUGAUUUCAUUUUAGCAUAUAGUAUGAUUUUCAAUUAGAGUACGAGUCUUACAAUAGUUGAUGUUUACAUGAAAAUAGAAUUUCCAAGCUAAAAAUGCUAGGUGUGUCAGAACGAUUCUUCCCGAACAUCACCACCUCACAUCCACCGCACAAUCUUCCUCUUCUUCUCGUUCCACCGGAAAAGAUCACUAGCUCAAUAACGCAAUUCUCCGGCAACAAGGCAGGUUCAGUGGCGGAACUGGCGAUGGUAACAGUAAUAUCUUGGUCAACCUACAAAUGAACCACAAUAAUUCAGAUUCUGUAGCCACGAUGUCGUCUCAACAUCACCACCAUCAACAGGCUGCUAACAAUAACAACAAUCAGUGGCUAUCGAGAUCGAUAUUGUAGAGGAACGUUAGUGAUUUUUUCAGACAUUAACCAUGAAACCUCAAAGCCCUUAUAGUUUGAUUAGUUCGUUUUGAUAUUCUACUUUGGUUGUCAAAAGGAAUUAUUCUCAAAAUUUCAAUUUUCUAUCCUCAUUUUGAUGGAAUUUAGGUUGAUUGGGUUCAUCUUAUGAUUAUGGAGAAGAAUAAUCUAUAAAUUUCUCAUAAUAGGCCAGGUGCUUCAUCAGGGAUUCUAUUGGGAGCUGUUACUCUUCCAGGUGUUGCAAUUUCAAGGCUGAUACAGUUAUCAAGAGCAUUAUUUAUGCAUGAAGUAGGAUUUGAAGGUGCAUAGUUUCUAAAUCAAAUCCUCUCUUUUACUUGUUAGAAUCAACAUUCACACAAGCACACACACGCAAAUUCACAGAAUCCAAUUAUAGGGAGCAAAAACAAAAAUCAAUCAUUAUUGUGAUCUUAUAAGCUAUAACCUUUUGCAUUUUUUCAUCUCUGCUUUACCAGAGGCUGAAUUCAUAAGAUUACAAUAUUAGGACACUUCUACUACUUGACUCUGUGUGCUUGUUUUCCUUUGCUUUAUGUGUCACCAUGAAUAUGAGAACACUAAUUUAGCAUCUCUUCAUAACAAUUGCCAUAUGAAGUUCAACAUUAGUUCCAUAUCCCUGUUUACAACAGUGUGCUAUCUAUCUUUUGCUGCAAAAUCACCUUCCAGUGAAUUCAUUGACUAAUUUACCCCUCAGAACUCCAUUUUUUCAAAACUUAAACUUCAAUUUUUGCAUCUUAUAGAAUGGAACAUGGCAUUGACUUUUUUAUGGAUUGUAUAUCAUGGGGUAUCAACUAUGAAAUUCAUUCAACAUGUUCUCGACACAUUUCCAGCAUUUGCUUCAUUUGGUAUCUUCUUCUUCUUCUUCUUCUUCUUCUUCUUCUUCUUCUUCACUUUCUUUUUUCAUCAUUUUACAAUUUCAGUAACAAAAGCAAGUGUUUCUAUUUUAGGCGAAGCACUUUUGGUUAUAGCUGGAUUUGUUGUUUAUUUUGGAGAUAUGUUUGCAUGUACAAUAGCAAGGUUGAGUUCUAUUGCAUAUGGGAUGGAAAUAAGCGAGAUAAACACUAUUAUAUAGGUAUGCUUGUUAAAAACAUUUAUUGAAUUAUAUACUUUUCAAAAUCACUAAUAAAUCAUACUUUACAUUUUCUUCUUAAAUUCAGGGAAUGCUUCUUGGCCUUCUUAUCAUUCCAAUGUUAUUCAAAUCCAACUUUAAAAAAUGGGAAAUUUACAUAUGAAUCAUAUGUAAUUCACAAGUGAAUCACAUAUGUGACAUCCCCAUUUUCACGACCAGAAAAGACCGAUUUGUUUAUGCUUCAUUUUUAAAAUCAGAGUAUACUUUUAAAGAAAAGUGUUGCGGAAUUUUAUUCCCAGAAAAACAUGAUAAAUAUAUUAUCAAAGUAAUUCCAAAAAAAUGUAUUUUAUUCAGUUUAAAACUUUGGGAUGUCAACAUCAAUACAGAAACAUAAGCGUAAACAAAUUUUACAUUCAUUUACACUAGCGAUCUACAUCUCUUUAAUCUCAGUGUAGUGUAGCUUUAUAUCGAUACAUGUGAUACAAAUAAACUAGGUGGAUCAGGUUGGGAAACCUGGUGAGUACAUAGGGUUUUCAACCCACAAUAAUAUAGUUAUUAUGUUUAAACACCAAACAUUCAACCCAAUUACCCAUCCCCAUUAUCUUCUUUACUCUUAAGGAUCUACCCUAAGAAUGAUCUAUCAUUCUCUUUUUCAUUCCUAAGGAUUCACCUAAAGAAUAGGAACGAAGUCCAUCUUUGCCUAUGGCGUAGCUGCCAAUUUUAUCUAUUAGGUGCAACUUCCAAUAUUAUCAUUUAGGUGCAGCUCCCAGGAUUAUGACGUUCUCUAUUAGGCGUAGCUGCCAAUAUUAUACUUUUACGUAGCUGCUAUGAUGUUUAGAGUACAUCGUAGUUCGAAAAUAUCUACAGGUUGUGGUGCAGCUACCAAUAUUCAUCUAUAUGAUCUUUCAUACCUCAUCAUUUAUCUACCUUAGUUCUACCCAACAUAUUUGUAGAUAUAAAAUACAUCUAUAGUCUUAGAUCUGAAGAAAAGGUUCUGAUCUAAAAACAAAAUACAAUUACAGUCUAGAUCUGAAGAAAAUGUUCAGAUCUGAAAACAAAAUACAUAUAUAGUUUAGAUUCGAAAAACAAAGAAGUUUAAAUCUUUCAUCAAGCAUAGAUCUCAAGUAAAUAUGCACACAUAGCAUGUAAUUUAUAUAAAAUACUUCAUAUCUAUGCGUAAUAUUAAAGUAACUAUGCACUCACUUGAUAAGGGGGUGAUUCGGACAACGCUUUGCUUCUAAAAAUAAUUUCUUUCGAUGAAACUGGGAAGUUUGCUUGAAAACCGGGCUCUACGGGGGCAAAGUUUCCAAACUGAAAAACUCUUUUUCUUGGAGCCUUCGGACGCUUCGGGGCUUUCUUCUAGUGCUAGGGAGGUUUCCUAGGCUUCGGGGUGAUUUAGGGUGGCUAGAGAGAGUAGAGAGAGAAAGUAUGGGUGAUAUGUGUGAAAAAUGAGGUUAGAUUCGGUCUCUAUUUAUAGUCGAGAGGCUUCUGUUACGCGGGGCAUUCCUGCGAGGGUACACGGGGAGUACCUUGGAGCGCAAGGCUUUCCCCUUCUACGCAGCGCGUUCGUACGAGACAUGUCGAUAUGCUGAUGGUGCAUCGUGGCCAGUCUUCGGACCAAACAAAGCGAGUCCGCAUAACACUCCUCCUUGUACGUAGGGUGUACUUCAGACGUUGGGCGUUCCUUCUCUACGCGGGGUGUAGGCUCGCACCCAAUCUCGUAAUUUCCUAUCUCGCCUUCAAAAAUUCAUAACUUUCGCAUACGAUCUUUGUUUUCGAUGUUCUUUAUGUCCACGCGUAACCGGGACUAUACUCUACAACUUUUGUUUAGACCUCGUCGGCUAAUUUUGACUCUAUUUUAAAAGUUAUAUUUUUAACAGGUCGGGAGAGGAAAAGUCCAGUAAAAAUUCAUAACUCCUUCAUCCGACAUCUGUUUUCAUUUGUCUUUUUACCGUUGUGCUACUAUUAACAAGAUCUUCGAUUCUUGUUUAGGUUGUGUUUGCUAGAAAUUGUUCGAUUUAAUAUUCGAACUCCGGGCUGCAUACUGUUAAGCCGAAACUUAGAAAAAUCAUAACUUCCUCAUACAGAGUUAGAUUUGGGCGUUCUUUUUAUGCACACUCUCGGUUUAACGAACAUUACGACUUUUGUUUAGAUCGCUAAGGCUAAAAAGCAUUCUAUCGUAAAUUCACUAUUUACGUCACGUAGUGUCGUGCUAGUUCUGUCGCGAAACUUCGACAUGCCAUAACUUCUUCGUUAUAACUCAGAUUUCGGCAUUCUUUAUAUCUCCAGAAUCCUUGUCACGACCACUACAAAUUUCUUCACAGAUAUUGGGUUUGUCUAACAUUUUAUUUUUUACGCUUAUUUUUAUUAUAUCUUUACAAACAAGUAUAUAAUCAUAUAAAAUCACAUAAUUCACAUAAUAUUCAAGUAAUUCAUCUUUAUUUCUUUUAAGUAAGUUACAAUGGUUGACCUUGACUAUUAUAUCAUCGAAUUACUGCUUAGUCUCAAAACACGGGCGUUACAACAUAUGAAUUACAUGUGAUUCACAUAUAAAUCACAUGUAAUUCACAUAUGAAUCACAUGUAAUUCACAAGUGAAUCACAUACGAAAUAUGACUUAUAUGUGAUUCACAUAUCAAUUACAUGUCAUUCACAUAUAAAUCACAUGUAAUUCACAUAUAAAUGACAUGUAAUUCACAAGUGAGUCACAUAUGAAUUACAUGUGAUUCACAUAUAAAUCACAUGUAUUUCAUAUAUGAAUCACAUGUAAUUCACAAGUGAAUCACAUAUGAAAUGUGAAUUACGUGUGAUUCACAUAUAAAUCACAUGUCAUUCACAUAUAAAUCAUAUGUAAUUCACAUAUGAAUCACAUUUAAUUCACAAGUGAAUCAAAUAUGAAUUACAUGUGUUUCACAUAUAAAUCACAUGUGAUUGACAUAUAAAUCACAUCUGAUUCACAUAUAAAUCACAUGUAAUUCACAUAUGAAUCACAUGUAAUUCAUAUGUAAGUCACGAGUGAAUCACAUAUGAAUUAUGUCUAUAUCCACACAUGCAUUUUGUGUGAGGGUUCUUCGUUUUUAUUUUCAUGUGAAUUUCACAUUUGAAUCUUAAAAGAUAAAAUCACAUUAUAUAAUCGCAUGCAAAUCUUACAUGAUAUAUACGUAUGCAUUUUUGUGAGUAUUCUUGCAUUAAUCAUUUUUUUUAUUUUGUUGUAGAUUUGAAAGAAUUUGUGGAAAAUUUUGAAGAUGUAAAAAAUGAUAAAUUGAAAAAAAUAUGGAAAUCUUGAUAUGAAGAAAUGAUAACACUGUGAAUCUUUGUAGCUUUUUUUAUUUUAUUUUGUAUUGAAUAAAAUAUUUGUAUUAUUAUUUUUAUGGAUUCAUUAUUAAAAACAUGAUUUUUUAUGAUUUACGUACGAAUAUUAUAGUAUAAGAAAUAUCCAUAUAUGCACUUAAAACGUUGAUUUUUUUAAUAUUCUAGGUUUUUUUAAAAAAAAUGAAGUUUUUUUUUUUUAUAAAUUGCAGUUUUUUUUACAAAAAUUGCAGUUUUUUUUUUGAAAAACGCAACUUUUUAAAGAAAUUGCAACUUUUUUUUUAAAAAAAUGCAGUUUUCUAUAAAAAAAUUGCAGUUUUUUUUUGGAAAAAAUGCAGUUUUUUAAAAGAAUUGCAGUUUUUUUUUUCAAAAAAAUGUAGUUUUUUUUUUUUUUUUUUUUUUUUAAAUUACUUUCCUUCCAUUUUUUUUUAAAUUCAAGUUUUCUGAAAAAAAAUUUAAAAAUUCUCCAUUUUAAAAAAUCAAAAUAUUUAUAAAAACACAAAUCUGGAAUUUGAUUUAUUAUGUUAAUUUUGUCCAAUAACACAAAAAAAUAACCAUUACAUGGGAUUGGUAAGAUUACGAUCAUGCCCUUAAUGAGAUAAUUUUAAUAUAACGCUCCACCUUUAGUUCUUAGGUUUUCGGGAAACUAUGAGUUGUCAACCGAUCUCACCCCUAUAUGUUAAUUACAUGUGAUCGUGGGCCAAUCAUUUUACUUAAUUUAGGAAAGUGAAUAACACAUAUUAUUAAAUUAAAGAUAAUUAAAAAAAUACAAUCUAUUUUCAUUUUAAGGGUAUUUUAGUCAAUUAACAUAAAUUUAAAAAAUGAAAAUUGCAUAUUUUAAGGGAAAAUAGAUUCUAUUAAUUUUAAAAAUCUGAUUAUAGAGAUGAAAAUUCUCCUAAUUUGGAUAUUCUGACAGAAUAUGUUUAUCAAUAUAUUGAAAAAUAACAAAUAUGAAUGAAACAUACAAGAAUACACAUUCUGACAUAAUAUAUAUUU